rnacentral:lncRNA from 1 species
GCCACAUGAUGACACCAUCAAACUUGACCUCUUCCUGUCCCUGCAGGAGUCAGCUGAUGCAGGCCUUGCCUGGCUCUGGCUCAGCUUUCGCCUGGGCCUUUGGUGGGGGGACCCCGUAGAGGAAAGACAGGGCUUCUGGGCCUGAAGAGUCCCAUGGCAGACACCUCCUUCUCAUAGCCACCAGUGAGCCCCUCCCCAGUCCCCUGGUGCACAGGCAGCUGGAUGUGACCAUGAAUAAGAGCCAUUGAUUAGUCUGUCACACGAAGACACUACCAGCAGCAUCCCAGCCAGCAGGGAAGAGGAACAGCCCUGCUGUCCCCAGAGCCCAAGGGAGCCCAGCAGAUCACAGACAUGGCCAGGGGUGUGCACUGGCUCAGGGGAGCAGUGUGGCCUCAGGGACGUUACCGCCCAUCUCUGACCCUGUAAGAUGUGGUUAAAGACUCCGAUGCCUCGGGGUCAGGUAGGGCUUAACAGGGUGAAGGACAGUGAAGAACGGAGGUGCACUGCUGUGCUUGGCGGCCCACAUUCAACUGCUCAGGAGGCUGAGUUGGGACAAAGCCUUACAGGCCAGCACCUUGAAGCCAGCCUGGGCGGCACAACAAGAUCCCUCAAAUACGUGAAAAGAUGAAUAAAAUGUAAAAUGACCGGCUGCUGGGAGGGGCAAGGGACUGGAGCCUCUCAAGGGCUUCUGGCAGAGGACCUAAGGCAUGAACUACAGCAAGGGUUCUGCCAUUUCCCUGCAGAGCCUCCCCUUGGCAAGACGUGAGGACAAACAACAUUGCCCCAGCUCGCUUCAGAGAUGUGUGCAGCCGCCUUCCUCAGCAACACGAUUAACCUCCGGGAUUCCGGAUGGAUUGACUAGUGCUCACCCACCGACUGAUGCGUGCUCAGACCCUU